rnacentral:rRNA from 1 species
AUUGAACGCUGGCGGCAUGCCUUACACAUGCAAGUCGAACGGCAGCACGGGAGCAAUCCUGGUGGCGAGUGGCGAACGGGUGAGUAAUGUAUCGGAACGUACCUUUCAGUGGGGGAUAACGUAGCGAAAGUUACGCUAAUACCGCAUAUUCUGUGAGCAGGAAAGACAGGGGAUCGCAAGACCUUGCGCUGAUUGAGCGGCCGAUAUCAGAUUAGCUAGUUGGUGAGGUAAAGGCUCACCAAGGCGACGAUCUGUAGCGGGUCUGAGAGGAUGAUCCGCCACACUGGAACUGAGACACGGUCCAGACUCCUACGGGAGGCAGCAGUGGGGAAUUUUGGACAAUGGGCGCAAGCCUGAUCCAGCCAUGCCGCGUGAGUGAAGAAGGCC